GACGAACGCUGGCGGCGUGCUUAACACAUGCAAGUCGAACGGAAAGGCCCUGCUUUUGUGGGGUGCUCGAGUGGCGAACGGGUGAGUAACACGUGAGUAACCUGCCCUUGACUUUGGGAUAACUUCAGGAAACUGGGGCUAAUACCGGAUAGGAGCUCCUGCUGCAUGGUGGGGGUUGGAAAGUUUCGGCGGUUGGGGAUGGACUCGCGGCUUAUCAGCUUGUUGGUGGGGUAGUGGCUUACCAAGGCUUUGACGGGUAGCCGGCCUGAGAGGGUGACCGGCCACAUUGGGACUGGGAUAGUGCCCAGACUCCUACGGGAGGCAGCAGUGGGGAAUAUUGCACCAUGGGCGGAAGCCUGAUGCAGCAACGCCGCGUGCGGGAUGACGGCCUUCGGGUUGUAAACCGCUUUCGCCUGUGACGCAGCGUGAGUGACGGUAAUGGGUAAAGAAGCACCGGCUAACUACGUG
rnacentral:rRNA from 1 species